CACGUAGUUAGCCGGUGCUUAUUCUUCAGGUACCGUCAUUAGUAAUAGUUAUUCGCUACUACCGUUUCUUCCCUGACAAAAGAGCUUUACAACCCGAAGGCCUUCUUCACUCACGCGGCAUUGCUGGAUCAGGGUUGCCCCCAUUGUCCAAAAUUCCCCACUGCUGCCUCCCGUAGGAGUCUGGGCCGUGUCUCAGUCCCAGUGUGGCUGGUCGUCCUCUCAGACCAGCUACUGAUCGUUGCCUUGGUAGGCUUUUACCCCACCAACUAGCUAAUCAGAUAUCGGCCGCUCCAGGAGCAUGAGGUCUUGCGAUCCCCCACUUUCAUCCGUAGAUCGUAUGCGGUAUUAGCUAGUCUUUCGACUAGUUAUCCCCCACUCUAGGGCACGUUCCGAUAUAUUACUCACCCGUUCGCCACUCGCCAUCAGGAGCAAGCUCCUAUGCUGCCGUUCGACUUGCAUGUGUAAGGCAUGCCGCAGCGUUCAAU
rnacentral:rRNA from 1 species